rnacentral:rRNA from 1 species
UACGUAGGGGGCAAGCGUUGUCCGGAUUUAUUGGGCGUAAAGAGCGUGUAGGCGGCCUGACAGGUCAGCUGUGAAAACUCGAGGCUCAACCUCGAGACGUCGGUUGAAACCAUCUGGCUAGAGUCCGGAAGAGGAGAGUGGAAUUCCCGGUGUAGCGGUGAAAUGCGCAGAUAUCGGGAGGAACACCAAUUGCGAAGGCAGCUCGCUGGGACGUUACUGACGCUGAGACGCGAAAGCGUGGGGAGCAAACAGG